ensembl:lncRNA
UAGGAGUGCUGGGGCUGCAGAAAACAUCCCAGCUCUGGCAGGAGGCUUAGCUGGCUGAAUGAUCAACUCCAUGAACAGUCCUCAGGUUCUGUCUCAUGACAACGAAUUCUGGAACAGUGACUUAAGAAAAGCAAUAAGGCAUUUAAGCAAGCUGUUGUCCCUGGAAAAUAUGCACCAGAAGAAAAAACUCAAUUAUAGAUACUAGGCCACUGAAAGGAUCAUAAAAAUGCUGCAGUGUCAAGGAGUUUAUUAAAAUCAACUUUGAUAUUCUGACAAAAAUUUCACUGA